AGCUCCAAUAGCGUAUAUUAAAGUUGCUGCAGUUAAAAAGCUCGUAGUUGGAUUUCUGGUGUGUUGUCACUAGCUGUUAACGGUUACGUUAGCGUGUCUUGUGAUUCGAUCUACCAUCAUUUGGUGCGUUCCGGUGUGAUUCAUCGCGUCGGAUCAAAGCGUGCCAAUCUUUUACUUUGAAAAAAUUAGAGUGUUUAAAGCAGGCUUUUGCUGUGAAUACAUUAGCAUGGAAUAAUAAUUUAGGACUUUUGUUCUAUUUUGUUGGUUUCUAGAAUGAAAGUAAUGAUUGAUAGGGAUAGUUGGGGGUGCUAGUAUUGCGUGGCCAGAGGUGAAAUUCUUGGAUUCACGCAAGACUAACUUAUGCGAAAGCAUUCACCAAGGAUAUCUUCU
rnacentral:rRNA from 1 species